GGCAGAUGGGACAAAUGGGAAAGGAUCUGUUUUCAAUGUGUGUGUCCAGCCACCACCAACAGGCCAGUCCCACCAACAGUGUCAUUUCAUCCCUCUUGGAUGGUCUCUCUCCCAUCUAGACCCAGCAUGUCAGGAACCUUGUCCUUGAAGUGCUCAAUGGGUUGAACAAAUGAAUCAUGACUGACGACCAGAGUGCUGGAAGCCAGCAAUAAAAGUAAAAGGGCACCGAGCUCUGUGUGGCACCAUUCCCAAGAGCGCUGAGGGAUGGAACCCUGCCUGCUCUGCCACCCUAUUGGAAAAGGCUACGGGAACAGUGUGGGACCAGCCAAGAGUUCACUUCCCACCUACAUCUUCGUGGGAUUCUCAACUUUCCCUAGGAAGAGAAUGGAUUCUGUGCUUCUGUCCGAGAGCAGUAUCAGGAAGGGCUGGUUGAAGGAGAUGACAGAGGAAGGACUGUCCUUUGAGCGGACUAUAAGCUUGGUGGUGGUGGCCGCCGCUGCUUCUGUCCCCUCCUCACUGACGUCCAGUACAGCCUUGGCUGGGGGUUCAGCCUGCGACCAAUGGCCAAGCUGCGGGAUGGGCUGGGAACCACCUGCGAGGACAGGCAUCCAUUUCCCCAGUUUCUCACAGAUAUAAAAGCACAAGACAUUGGAGAGAUAUCCCAGUCUUCAUCUGUCAAGCCUCCUUGACCCUAGUACCACAGAUGAUGUCUGUACUCUCUGGGUCUGUUCUAUCUUCCUUCAGCCUCCCCCAUACCAUGUCUUCUUCCUUCACCUAGCCCUGGUGCAGCGAGAGAAGAGAGGAAACUCUGAAAGCAUCUCUUGAUUCUUCCCCUUCCAUCUUUGUCAGUCAUGUUACCGCCAUCAGAAAUGCCCACCCUUGGUCUCUGUGUGCCCAUGGCCCAUCUGAGGCAAGCAUAGAGAACAGCUUAGUGACGUGGGACUCCACUGACCUGGGCUAUGCACACAAUCCUCUCCAAACAAUGUACCUAGCAACCUAUUGGCCACCUACUAUCCCUGACCGGCAGGGAGCUGCACAUACACCUGCUUUAAUCAAUGGAAUAAUUUACUUCCCUUAAGAACUCCUUGAUAAUAUGUCCCAGAGCACAAUCAGGAACUAUGGUCAAUGGGCCCGUUUAGCCUAGACUGGUUUUGGAUGCAUAUAAAUAAAACAAAAAUCUGUGAACUUUUAAGGUGAGCUCCGUAUUUAGCAACUUAUGUCUGUGCACAAUUAGGUAUGCAUAUGAUUAAAAUGAGAAUCAUUGUAAAGAAGAGAUAUGAGCAACAAA